UAACAACGUUAACGCUAUUGUGUUUUAUUUAUUUCAAGGAAGAAUAAUGUAAUCUUUCUCAAGAACAACGUAUGGAUUUUGCUUUAUAUUUAGAUCCCGUUGUUCCGUUCUGUCGUGUUGUCGAAUCCGGGCUUUCUUCAAAGCGAAGUAAGGUGGAAAAAGAAUAGUUCUUCGCAUAUAAGGUUUAUCAUAUUAAUUGUGGAAGUUCUUGGCUGGACUGAGCUCUUGAACGACGUAAGGUACAGAUAGUCGGUUUGGUGACCCUUCAGCAUAGGACUUCUACUCGGCUGUCUUGGAGAGCUCCGUUGUUCCGGAGUCUAGACUUUUGGUACAAAUCUUAUGAUAUAUAUGUAUAUGUUUA